rnacentral:rRNA from 1 species
UACGAAGGGGGCUAGCGUUGCUCGGAAUCACUGGGCGUAAAGGGCGCGUAGGCGGCCAUUUAAGUCGGGGGUGAAAGCCUGUGGCUCAACCACAGAAUUGCCUUCGAUACUGGAUGGCUUGAGACCGGAAGAGGUAAGUGGAACUGCGAGUGUAGAGGUGAAAUUCGUAGAUAUUCGCAAGAACACCAGUGGCGAAGGCGGCUCACUGGUCCG